UGCUAUCACACAGCUUCCUUGCUAGCAUCGGAUGCUGCAAUGUAUUCUACCUCACAAAUUGAAUCGGCUACAGUAUUGUGCUCGAAACUUUUUCAGCAGUUUGCUCCAUCAUUUAAGAUAAAAUAUAUCCUGACACGCUCUUACUGUCAUUAUGAUCCAACUAAAAACUAAAGUCAGUAAACUCUAUAAAUUUUAAGUCAGAUUCUCUAUAAACGAGCCACUGAUCCUUAGUAUUUCUCAAAUACAUAAGGAUAACCUCC
rnacentral:lncRNA from 1 species